UACGGAGGGUGCGAGCGUUGUCCGGAAUCACUGGGCGUAAAGGGCGCGUAGGCGGCCUGAUAAGUAGGGGGUGAAAUCCUGCGGCUUAACCGCAGGGCUGCCUUCUAAACUGUCAGGCUCGAGCACAGUAGAGGCAGGUGGAAUUCCCGGUGUAGCGGUGGAAUGCGUAGAGAUCGGGAAGAACAUCAGUGGCGAAGGCGGCCUGCUGGGCUGUUGCUGACGCUGAGGCGCGACAGUGUGGGGAGCAAACAGG
rnacentral:rRNA from 1 species